rnacentral:rRNA from 1 species
UACGGAGGGUGCAAGCGUUAUCCGGAUUCACUGGGUUUAAAGGGUGCGUAGGUGGGUUGGUAAGUCAGUGGUGAAAUCUCCGAGCUUAACUCGGAAACUGCCAUUGAUACUAUCAAUCUUGAAUCAUCUGGAGGUAAGCGGAAUAUGUCAUGUAGCGGUGAAAUGCUUAGAUAUGACAUAGAACACCGAUAGCGAAGGCAGCUUACUACAGGAUGAUUGACGCUGAGGCACGAAAGCGUGGGGAGCAAACAGG